AAACUUACCUGGCAGGGGAGAAACAAUGAUCAUGAAGGUUGUGCUCCCAGGAUGAGACUAUCCCAUUGCACUCCGGGUAUGCUGACGCCUGCGAUGUCCCCAAAUGCGGGAUACUCGACUGCAAAAUUUGUGGUGUUGGAGGACUGCGUUUGUGCUUUCCCCUG